rnacentral:piRNA from 1 species
UACGAGAUCGUCCCUUAAAGCUCAAAGGACA